rnacentral:tRNA from 1 species
GCCCGGGUAGCUUAAGCAGAGCGUUGAUUAUCAAAGGCGGCGGUUCGAAUCCGUCUCAGGGCA